rnacentral:rRNA from 1 species
GUGUCAGCCGCCGCGGUAAUACAGAGGGGGCAAGCGUUAUUCGGAAUUAUUGGGCGUAAAGGGCGCGUAGGCGGCUUUUCAAGUGACGGGUGAAAUCCCUCGGCUUAACCGAGGAACUGCCUGUCAGACUGGAAGGCUUGAGACCGGGAGAGGUGAGUGGAAUUCCCAGUGUAGCGGUGAAAUGCGUAGAUAUUGGGAGGAACACCAGUGGCGAAGGCGGCUCACUGGACCGGAACUGACGCUGAGGCGCGAAAGCGUGGGGAGCAAACAGGAUUAGAAACCCCCGUAGUCC